GAUGAACGCUGGCGGCGUGCCUAAUACAUGCAAGUCGAGUGAACAGACGAGGAGCUUGCUCCUCUGACGUUAGCGGCGGACGGGUGAGUAACACGUGGAUAACCUACCUAUAAGACUGGGAUAACUUUGGGAAACCGGAGCUAAUACCGGAUAAUAUAUUGAACCGCAUGGUUCAAUAGUGAAAGACGGUUUUGCUGUCACUUAUAGAUGGAUCCGCGCCGCAUUAGCUAGUUGGUAAGGUAACGGCUUACCAAGGCGACGAUGCGUAGCCGACCUGAGAGGGUGAUCGGCCACACUGGAACUGAGACACGGUCCAGACUCCUACGGGAGGCAGCAGUAGGGAAUCUUCCGCAAUGGGCGAAAGCCUGACGGAGCAACGCCGCGUGAGUGAUGAAGGUCUUCGGAUCGUAAAACUCUGUUAUUAGGGAAGAACAAAUGUGUAAGUAACUAUGCACGUCUUGACGGUACCUAAUCAGAAAGCCACGGCUAACUACGUG
rnacentral:rRNA from 1 species